rnacentral:rRNA from 1 species
UGGGGAAUUUUGGACAAUGGGCGCAAGCCUGAUCCAGCAAUGCCGCGUGCAGGAUGAAGGCCUUCGGGUUGUAAACUGCUUUUGUACGGAGCGAAAAGGUCUGCCCUAAUACGGUGGGCUCAUGACGGUACCGUAAGAAUAAGCACCGGCUAACUACGUGCCAGCAGCCGCGGUAAUACGUAGGGUGCGAGCGUUAAUCGGAAUUACUGGGCGUAAAGCGUGCGCAGGCGGUUAUGUAAGACAGAUGUGAAAUCCCCGGGCUCAACCUGGGAACUGCGUUUGUGACUGCAUAACUAGAGUACGGCAGAGGGAGGUGGAAUUCCACGUGUAGCAGUGAAAUGCGUAGAUAUGCGGAGGAACACCGAUGGCGAAGGCAAUCCCCUGGGCCUGUACUGACGCUCAUGCACGAAAGCGUGGGGAGCAAACA